ensembl:lncRNA GLIDR glioblastoma down-regulated RNA
CUCUCUAACUCCUCCCACUGAGAUGACCCAUAGUACCCCAUUCCUUGCUGCAAUGUAAUUAUAUUUAAUUACAAGUGUGCCCCUGGUAGUCUUUAACUGAAGGGCACUGACUGGGUCACUGGUGAAGUUCCCCGCAGGAACUGAGUCAGACCCCAUCUCAGGGCCCUGCACAAGAUAGGUGCCUGCUCUAAGGCGUGGACCCUCGCCACAGCCCUGGCCCGUCUUGACGGGCGAGGGUUACUGUACUUGUCCCAACCGUACAGAUGAGAAAGCUGAGACUCAGGGCCAGCAACCCGGGUCCCAGCGGAGCGCCCGGCACACGCCGACACUUCAGCACCAGUGGCGGUGGCCACCACUGUGGGCGGAGAUGGCUGCGACGCGUGCGCAGAUCUCGAUCCCAAACUCCCUCCUGCCAGAAUCUGGACCCGAAUCCACCCAUUGCCCGUUUUCCGCUGCCGCUGGAGAGAAUCUCUGAGGUCCCCAGGAGAGCCUGCCUGCACGGAAGAGACGCCUCCUCGAUACCUGGGAGAGAGGAUUUUUCAUGUUACCAACACAAAGAAAUGAUAAAGGUGAAAUGGCCACCAGACCCAGGCUUUCUGGAAUGCAUUCAUUUUCUGCAGUUGAAAGGGACAAUCCCGGAUCUGAAAGAAAGAGCCACAGUGACUCCAAGAGUGGAGCCAGGGCAUGCUGGACACUGCAUAGCUAUGGCCACGUGUGUCACCUCCGAGGGAGAUGUGAGAGAAACGCAGAGGGAUCGCUUGUGACUGUGCCUUCUCGAUGUAUGAUGGACUGUUCUGCUCAAAUAGUAAGUGUGACCAAGGAGCCGGUGAACAUAGGAAACAAAGAAUAUUUCAUUUGACAUUAUAAGGAAUGCGACAAUUCUAGUCACUUGAAAGUGAACUAUAUCUGUCGAGAAUUCCUAGUUUUAAUUGGGAAGAAAUGUGCUUCUCUUCUUGAAAAGCCACAGGUUAUUGCUGUUAUGUCUAAUAUCAGUCCUCUCUGGAUUUCUCAAAAGAUUUUCUGUAUAUCCUACCAUUUUCCUUCUGUUGCUGCAGUUUGGAAGUAGUUUGUUAUCAGGAUUAUCAAAGCAUCAUUGCUAUUUAUGACAAUGACUUUAAGAAAUGCAAGAAUAUUUGGAACACUGUAGAAAAAAUAUUUUAGCCUGGAAGGCAAAUACUAAUUUCAGGAACUAUUGAUCUGUUAUAAAACAGGACCACUCAGACAUUUAGCUCUAAGACUUUCACAUAUCCGUUGUUAGAGGCGUAUAGUGGGGGGCAUGACUCAGCUUCUGCUUAAGUACAAGGUGUUGUCUGCAGCGAAGGAAGAAUUUGAUUGUAGUAUCAACAGAACCAGACAGAACUCUUUGAAUAUAAUUAUAUAUCUUGGAAACUGACUCAUCAAAGCUAUUAGAUUACAUGGCAUCAUUUAAGCAUCACUGGGCUCUGUACUUUUCAUUAUCUGUACUUUUCAUUAUGGAGUAUAAUAGGCUUUAUUUGGUACAGAAAUUGGGUCUAAGAUGAAACAACUUGUGAUUUUUGAAUAAACUUUUGGGGAUUAGUUACUUUGAUGUUGUCAAGAUAGCACCAUAGUAAGUCCUCUGUCUUUCCUCUUGAUUUAUUUAUAAUUUAGAAUCAGUUUAUGAUUUUAAAAAAUGUGACAGACACAGUGGCAUGCACCAGUAGUACCAGCCACAUGGGAAACUGAGGCAGAAGGAUCACUUGAUCCCAGAAGAUAGAGACCACCCUGGGCAACAUAGUGAGAGCCCCAUCUCAAAAAAAAAAAAAAAUCAAUUCCCAAUACCAUUCCAGAACACUUUUAAUAUAACCAGAUGAAAUUGUGAUCACUACUUUACUGUAAUGUUUAAAAUGGUCCUCAGUCCAUAUUUAAGUACAAUCUUAGUGUUUCUGUGCAACCUAAUAUAUUAGAAACAAAAAUUGUAUUGCAUUUGAAUAGGAAAUACUCUGAAUUGAGGGUUAUUUCUUUUAACAGUUGCAAUUAGAUUGGUUAGUGACAAUUAUCUGUAAUUUUCAGGCAAUGCCUAGGCAAGUGCCCAAGGCACAGUAGCCUCCUCCUUGCCUCCGUGUGUGUGUGUGUGUGUGUGUGUGUGUGUGUGUAGGGUGGUAACAUUUCUGGGAAUUUGUCUUAACAUAAAAUGAUACCACCUUUCACAAAACGACCUAGAGGAAGUUGGAAAUCCCACUAUCCUGGCUUCCUGCUGAGCAAUAUCUGCUUCUCUUUCUGACUCAGGCUGAUGCAUCUGUAUACUUAGCUUCACUUCUCCAGUAAAUAAGGGAGAGCUUUAUUAUAAAAGACAACUUCUAUUGAUUUUCAAGGGGGUGGGUGGUUGUCAAGCUCACUCCUUUCUAUGCACUGAGGGAAAAUUAUUGUAAGCGAUCUGUAAAACAAUAGAUGAAAAAA